GCUCCGAGUUCUCUCGGCCCGCUCCCCACAGCGAUCGGGAGAAGAACAGAGGCAAAUGCAGCGGUUUGCUGGAAGGAUACCGCUUAUUUCAUUCUGCUAGUGGCGAUUAUGAAGGGAGCGAGCGAGGGAAAAACAGGCUCGGCAGAGGGAGGGAUGCGUCUCCAGUCACGUAGUGUGUGUACUCGCUGUUCAUUAACACGGAGCCGAUGGGGGGAGGGAAAGGAAGCGUCUCUCCUUCUGUGCUGAGAAUGGAAAUAUGUUAAGCAAUUCAGCCUGCUCCCACGUUCUCUCCUGCACCAACCAGAGCGCCCUGCUUCAGCAGCCUUUGUGCCUAGGCUUGGCAGCCACGCGUACAAUAUUGGGCUUUCUAGGGCCGCUUGCAUAGUUUAAUCGCCUGCUCAUGUCUUUGAAUUUUAUACAGCGAGAGAAUUUUACUUCUCUUGGACGUUAGAGACGAGCACGCUACAGAGCAGAACUGUGCCCCCCGCCCCCGCCUUGCUGUCCUGAGUCUGGUAAUAACAAUUAGAACUUCACUUGUUCCAAGCACAACAUUAUUAAGUAAUUUACUCUUACAACACCGUGUGCUGAAGGUGAGACAUUCGAAUGCAUCCUGUAUUAAGAUCCUCAUUUUAUAGAAGUGGAAGCAGACACAGCCAUGGAAAUGGUUAUUAUUUAAGUGGGUUUAUGCCUUUUGCUGAAUUUGACUCAAAACAAUGUGACAAUAUAUCUAUUUGGAGCAAUGGAUAAAUAUGUUAUGGUCAAAAAAUAUAAUGUGAUUAUUCCUUAUCCUUUCAGCUUUAAUUAUCAAAUUCAAGUAUAUUAUCUCCAGUUAUCUGUAUAUAAAAUCUAUUUUGAAUUUACAUUGCCCCACUUAGUAAUUCAUGCAACACAAAGCCUACAUUAAAAUAAUGCUAGGGGCAUUAUUCUUAUUGUCCUCAGUCAAAACAUUGACUUCAGCAGGAAUUGUCACUGAAUAAGGUCUGCAGGUUUGUCCCAAGACAUGAUUUGAGCCAGCAAAAUCAAGGAACACCGAGUAAUGCUCCUUCACAUUAUUGGCACUAGCAGAAACUACUGUAAAAGUUGUCACGUUAUAGAUAUCUUUAUUUGACUGUUAAUGUGUUAACAUUUUUCAGAAUUAUCUGUCUUCACUUUCCAUUUUUAGUUAUCUUCUCUUUUAGCUUGUCUUAUUCUCUAAAGAAUUGUUAACUAGUGUUCAAAAUAUCCAGCUUCGUGGAUUUGCCCUCAAAGCUUCACAUUUCUGUUGGAAUUGAUUUUCUAAGGAAAUGAUUUAAAAGGUGUCAAAAAGUUUACAGACUUCCCACAAGCAAUAUGAACUUACAUGACCUCCCCACAGCUUAUCUUAGUCUAUGGAGAAACAGUAUUUUUUAUACUUUGGCUGAAAAUUGUGGAACACGCAGAUAUUGUUUUUGCUGAUUAUAGCAUGAGUGUAUAGUCAACAAAUAUAUCAAUCACUGUUCUACCUGUUCAAGCACUUGUCUUUUUUAUUUCAAGAUAUCUUUUGCUCUUUUUAAGCUGACUUGCUUGCAGAUGGUUAUGCAAACAUUUAUGCAGUUUGUUUUUCCAGACAGCAACCUUGUUACCAUAUUUUUCUGAGCUGCAGUUAUAACAUCACUGUGAUGCAAUAACUUGAACAAUAAAAUCCUUUGUUUGAGUCUUACUACACACAGUUAAGCAAUGUGUCUGAGUCAUCAGCUUAAUAGAUUCUUCCAGGUGACCUUGCCAUGAUAAUUACAGCCAGUUAUGAGAUAUAAAUGUGCUUAGGAUAUGUAAUAAAAAAAGAUGCAAAUAUAUGGCCAAAUCCUGUGGUCCCUUCCCAAGGAAAAUAUCAGUUGAUUUAGAUGUUAAACUAUUUUUCAGAGUUAAAAACCCAUUUAGUUAAACAUUUUCAUUGAAAUAUUUGUAAUUUAAAACUGAUAGUGGUGGGGUGAGCUUAACUGUCAAAAAUAAGAACUUGAAAAAUGAAGACAUAUUGAAUUUGGUUCAAAAUGUAAUAGAAACAACGCCUUUGAAAACUCCUUCUUUGUUUCUCUGUUUUUAAAAAAGUGUGCCUGAAAUUUAUUAGCAUUAAUAUAUUGUUUGAUAUCCUGUGUUUUUUCCUUUCUAACUUACACUUGAGUUGGUGCUUGUCCAAAUUAGCAUAACAUAGGAAUACUAAAAGACUUUGUAAAUUCUGAGCAUUGAUAUUACAUAAGAGAUUUUCUUUUUGAUUGGAAAGAAAUACCUUUUUUUACAACUUUUUUUAGUUUUCUCUGAAGUGAACUUACAGUAUAAAAAUAGGAACAAUGAUUUGUCUGUAGGAAAUCAUAUAAUUUGAUUAUGGAGUGUAAAUACUGUUAUAAGAAGACUAAGUUCAUAUUUUUAGCAUAUAUUGUUUAUUAUUAACACAUGCUUAGAUUAUUCUAUUUUGUGUUUGUUGAUAAUAUGUUUUGUCAAGGAAGCCCACGUUCAUCAGAGCAUAGACUCUUCAUUGUUUUAACAAGUUUAGGAAGAAAUUUUCGUAUCUCAGUGGUUGUAAAUAGAAGAUUAAAUAUAACAUUCUUUUAAAGCUUUCACUCCUUGUCAUUCUGUGCUGGAAUAUUUUCUGGGGUUUUUUUUUUUGGCAUGUAUCCUGUUUUAGUUACCAUAUCUUGCAGGGUUAUCAUACAGCUUUGACUCAGUUUUCUGUUCUGUCGC